AAACGACUCUCGGCAACGGAUAUCUCGGCUCUCGCAUCGAUGAAGAACGUAGCGAAAUGCGAUACUUGGUGUGAAUUGCAGAAUCCCGUGAAUCAUCGAGUCUUUGAACGCAAGUUGAGCCCGAAGCCUUUUGGCCGAGGGCACGUCUGCCUGGGUGUCACGC
rnacentral:rRNA from 1 species